ensembl:lncRNA
GGGGAUGAGGAUACCGUCACUGUAAUCUAGUUCCCCUGCUGUGCCCAGUAGCCCGGGGAUGAGGUUACCGUCACUGUAAUCUAGUUCACAUGCUGUGUGCAAUAGCCCGGGGAUGAGGUUACAGUCACUGUAAUCUAGUUCCCCUGCUGUGUGCAGUAGCCCGGGGAUGAGGUUGCCGUCACUGUAAUCUAGUUCCCAUGCUGUGUGCAGUAGCAUGGGGAUGAGGUUACUGUCACUGUAAUCUAGUUCCCAUGCUGUGUGCAGUAGCAUGGGGAUGAGGUUACCGUCACUGUAAUCUAGUUCCCAUGCUGUGCCCAGUAGCC